rnacentral:rRNA from 1 species
GAUAGAGUUUGAUCCUGGCUCAGAUUGAACGCUGGCGGCAGGCCUAACACAUGCAAGUCGAGCGGAUGAGAGGAGCUUGCUCCUUGAUUUACCGGCGGACGGGUGAGUAAUGCCUAGGAAUCUGCCUGGUAGUGGGGGAUAACGUUCCGAAAGGAACGCUAAUACCGCAUACGUCCUACGGGAGAAAGCAGGGGACCUUCGGGCCUUGCGCUAUCAGAUGAGCCUAGGUCGGAUUAGCUAGUUGGUGAGGUAAUGGCUCACCAAGGCGACGAUCCGUAACUGGUCUGAGAGGAUGAUCAGUCACACUGGAACUGAGACACGGUCCAGACUCCUACGGGAGGCAGCAGUGGGGAAUAUUGGACAAUGGGCGAAAGCCUGAUCCAGCCAUGCCGCGUGUGUGAAGAAGGUCUUCGGAUUGUAAAGCACUUUAAGUUGGGAGGAAGGACAUUAACCUAAUACGUUAGUGUUUUGACGUUACCGACAGAAUAAGCACCGGCUAACCUCGUGCCAGCAGCCGCGGUAAUACGAAGGGUGCAAGCGUUAAUCGGAAUGUACUGGGCGUAAAGCGCGCGUAGGUGGUUCGUUAAGUUGGAUGUGAAAGCCCCGGGCUCAACCUGGGAACUGCAUCCAAAACUGGCGAGCUAGAGUACGGUAGAGGGUGGUGGAAUUUCCUGUGUAGCGGUGAAAUGCGUASAUAUASGAAGGAACACCASUGGCGACAKGCGACCACCUGGACUGAUACUGACACUGAGGUGCGAAAGCCGUGGGGAGCAAACAGGAUUAGAUACCCCUGKUAKUCCACGCCCGUAAACGAUGUCAACUAGCCGUUGGGAGCCUUGAGCUCUUAGUGGCGCAGCUAACGCAUUAAGUUGACCGCCUGGGGAGUACGGCCGCAAGGUUAAAACUCAAAUGAAUUGACGGGGGCCCGCACAAGCGGUGGAGCAUGUGGUUUAAUUCGAAGCAACGCGAAGAACCUUACCAGGCCUUGACAUCCAAUGAACUUUCUAGAGAUAGAUUGGUGCCUUCGGGAACAUUGAGACAGGUGCUGCAUGGCUGUCGUCAGCUCGUGUCGUGAGAUGUUGGGUUAAGUCCCGUAACGAGCGCAACCCUUGUCCUUAGUUACCAGCACGUAAUGGUGGGCACUCUAAGGAGACUGCCGGUGACAAACCGGAGGAAGGUGGGGAUGACGUCAAGUCAUCAUGGCCCUUACGGCCUGGGCUACACACGUGCUACAAUGGUCGGUACAGAGGGUUGCCAAGCCGCGAGGUGGAGCUAAUCCCAUAAAACCGAUCGUAGUCCGGAUCGCAGUCUGCAACUCGACUGCGUGAAGUCGGAAUCGCUAGUAAUCGCGAAUCAGAAUGUCGCGGUGAAUACGUUCCCGGGCCUUGUACACACCGCCCGUCACACCAUGGGAGUGGGUUGCACCAGAAGUAGCUAGUCUAACCUUCGGGAGGACGGUUACCACGGUGUGAUUCAUGAC